GGAGGGGCAUGAAGGGAUGAAAGGAGGAGCCAAAGUGUCAGCCAAGAAAAGACUCAAACUGCACGAGUGCUGUUUCACACCAAAGAGGACUUUGUCUUGAAGAUGAUGUCAGCGCACUUCACUUUGUUUCUGAUCACACUGACAGGUGUCAGCUGUGAAGAACUCACUGCAGUCCACCAUCAAGAGGACACUUUAGAAGGCAGUACUGCUACUCUGGAGUACAAAUACCACAAAACUGCUGAUGCUGGUGAUUAUUUCUUCUGGUAUCGACAAUAUCCAGGAAAACCACCAGAGUUCCUCUUGUUCAUCUCAGGUUCGAGCAGCACAAGAGCAGCAGAGUCUGUGAAAUCAGACAAAAGGUUCUCAACUAAACUGUCUGAAGAUAAACGUGGUGUGUAUUUGGAGAUCAGCAGUACUGCAGUGACAGACUCUGCUGUGUACUACUGUGCUGUGAAGCCCACAGUGACACAAAACACUCAGUCUGCGGACAAAAACCUCACUCAGUGACAAACAGUGCCACCAAGUGGACACACAGCAUGAGUUUGAACUCUUUGGACAAAAGCACUCAAAUAUUCAACACUAAGAAGAUCCAGUUUGCUGUGGUGUACCACAGGGGUCAAUCCGAGGGUCUCAGUACAAUUUAAAUGUUGGCUUUCUGUCACAUCAUUUGGCAACACAACAUUCUCCCUUUUGCUGAUGACAUCCUGUUCUAUCUUUCUG